rnacentral:rRNA from 1 species
GCGAGCUGAUCCCCUUCGGGGGUGAUGCUCGUGGAACGAGCGGCGGACGGGUGAGUAACACGUGGGUAACCUGCCUGUAAGAUCGGAAUAACUCCGGGAAACCGGAGCUAAUGCCGGGUAAUACUUUCUUUCGCAUGAAGGAAAGUUGAAAGAUGGCUUCUUGCUAUCACUUACAGAUGGACCCGCGGCGCAUUAGCUAGUUGGUGAGGUAACGGCUCACCAAGGCGACGAUGCGUAGCCGACCUGAGAGGGUGAUCGGCCACACUGGGACUGAGACACGGCCCAGACUCCUACGGGAGGCAGCAGUAGGGAAUCUUCCGCAAUGGACGAAAGUCUGACGGAGCAACGCCGCGUGAACGAUGAAGGUCUUCGGAUCGUAAAGUUCUGUUGUUAGGGAAGAACAAGUACCGUUCGAAUAGGGCGGUACCUUGACGGUACCUAACGAGGAAGCCCCGGCUAACUACGUGCCAGCAGCCGCGGUAAUACGUAGGGGGCAAGCGUUGUCCGGAAUUAUUGGGCGUAAAGCGCUCGCAGGCGGUUCCUUAAGUCUGAUGUGAAAGCCCACGGCUCAACCGUGGAGGGUCAUUGGAAACUGGGGAACUUGA